GUCGAUCGCACCUGGACGAAAAAAGCACAACUACAGUUUUUUGGUUCGCUCUCCUGCUUAAAGGCGAACAGUGGUGCCCCUCCCCAGUACCCUCCUGGCUUGGGAAGGUCUUACAGACCUCCCAUCAUUGUUGUCGCUACGUCGUCACGGGACCUGGAGCCAGAGAAAGUGGCCAUGAAAGCACAUUUCGACCAAGGACGUCACACUUCCUGAGAUUUUUGGACAAUAUGGCGAAGACAACGUUCGAUCUGAGUAACGAGAAAGAUGUCGAUGAGGUAAUAAGACUUUUGGCAGCUGAUAAUGCCGAAGAUCCAAUGCCAACAAAAGGUUUAGGUGAAGAAAGCGACAUUGCGUCAGAAUAUGGGAUUGAAGAAAGAUGAGCAAGAGUUUACUGACAAUCCUGAUGAUGAAGAGGCUUGUGGUACUGAAGAAGAGGCACUAUUAGGGAAGGAUAAGAAGACCAAGUGGACCAAGAAGCCACCGAAUAGGGGAGGGCGCAGAGGACCAGAAAAUAUUAUCACUCACCUUCCAGGAGUCGUAGGAGCAGCUAAACUGGCGAAAACUUCAGCUGAGUGUUGGAAUCACUUUUUCACUGAUGCCAUGCUUGAAAUGAUGGUGAAAUACACCAAUCAGUAUAUCGAGAGCAUCAAGGGGAAUUUUGCUAGAGCGAGAGAUAUUACGUCAACAGAUACGACUGAAGUUCGGGCGUUUGUUGGUUUACUGUACCUUGCAUUAGCCUAUAAGGCCAAUAGUCAAAGUUUAGAAGAGCUUUGGGGACGUGAAAACGAUGGUAUUGAAAAAUUUGGCUUGGGUAUGAGCCUAAGACGCUUUAAAACCUUGGUCAGAUGCCUUCGCUUCGAUGAUCGCAAUUCUCGAGAGCAAAAGGAAGAAGAUUGACAGGCUCUGUCCUAUUCGUGAAAUCUUACAAGUAUUUGUCGCGAAUUGUCAAAAGAGCUACUCUGUUGGAGAGAAUGUCACCAUCGACGAAAUGCUCCCAGGUUUCAGAGGAAGAUGCCCUUUUCGUCAGUACAUUCCUUCGAAAACCAACAAGUAUGGUAUCAAACUGUUCACCCUCGUAGAUGCAAAGAUGACCUACACAUACAACUUGGAAGUGUACACUGGUACGCAGCCUAAAGGUCCUUUCAGGCUGAGAAACAAACCACCUGACGUCGUCAAACGAGUGGUUCAGCCCUUACUGUGAAGUGGACGAAAUAUCACAUCAGACAACUGGUUUACCGACUUUGCGCUUGUUGAUGAGCUCAAAAGCCAUAAUCUCACCUAUGUCGGUACGGCAAGGAAAAACAAGAGGGAGUUGCCUCCAGCCUUUGUAAAUGUGAAAGGAAGGAAACAGUAUGACAGUAUGUUCGGGUCAACGAUGGGAAAACUGUGGUCUCAUACAUUCCAAGAGAGAAAAAAUGUUCUCCUCGUUUCUUCUCUUCAUAACGACGAUGCUAUUGAUCCUUCAUCUGGACAGGUCAAGAAGCCAGAGAUCAUAACAUUUUGCAACUCCACAAAAGGUGGAGUGGAUACUGCAGACUAGAUUUGUUCAACUUAUGAUGUAUGUAGAAACAACAAGCGUUGACAUCAUCUAUCUUGGCAAUGAUCUUGAACCUUGCGCAGGAGGGUGUUUCUCAAAAAGUUAGUUCACGAGCUUACUCUCCCAGAGCUGCAGAGAAGGAGCCAGAAGAGGCAUGGAAUCCCUUCUAGUCUCCAAAUCUGCAUGAGGAAGUUCAACCCCAAAAUGAAUUUUGAUAAUGAUGACCAUAAAGACGAAACACCCUUCAAGAGGCCUAGGUGUGUGCCUUGCAAGACUGAAAUUGGUUUGAGGAGGCUUAAGGUGUCUAGGUGUCUGUGUUGCACCUAACCGAUACGCAAUAAACACGCAAACGACUUCUGCGAUGAGUGCAAAGUUGCCAUUCUUCCAACUUUUUCCAAGGAGCCUAAAUCCAGCGAAUCUGAGGAGGACUGAGCUCACUAGGAACAGACUGCAGUGCCUAUGUGGUUUUGUGUGUUGUUUAUGUCACCAUUCAGUCUAAAUUUUGACUCAAGUACAGUGGUGCGCUAAAAAAUAGGUGUUUUCAAAAUCGUAUGUUUUAGGCAAUAACAAUCUUCAUUCCUUCAA